GAAAAAAUCUCUCAGCUCAGUCGAUCCCCACCAGUAACCUUAUCCAUCCGCCUGCACCACCUCUCCAUUAUCCAGCUGAUGAAGAUCUCGUCGCUUGCCAUCAGCGGACUAAUUCCCAAACCAUUGCGACUGCACUUCUCCAUUAAUUUCUUCCAACUUCUCUUCGUCUGGCGCAGUUUGCCGUUGUGUGGAGUGCACGGACGCGUUCGUCGCGUUCUCAAGGAUCUAGAUCCUAGACGACCUCGUGGAGUUCGGUGGAGCGUUCUCAAGGGUUUCGGCCAAGAUGACAUGGCCGACGGCUAGAAAACCAUGGCAGAGGUGUUGUAGUUUGGCCCAGUGGAGGAGGCUGUGAGGGAACUCACCGAGUCACCUGCUGGUGGUGAAUGAUUGGAUCUGACUACCGUGAGAUGAUGUCCUCCUCACUGUUCUUGCUGUCAGACUACUUUAAAUGUAAUUGCAAACUGAUGAUAUGCAUCCUUUGUACCGAAGAUUAAUUCUUGUUUAUUUUCUUAAGCUGUAAAGGCCUUAUCUUCUAAUGUUUUAAUAUGUCACCUUGGAUAUUAAUUUUUGUAUAGGUUUGUUGUGCAAAAGCUAACUUGUUGAAUUUUCUGAAGUAACGUCUAGUAACCACAUCAAGUAACGGAGAAACAUAUUCCAGUUGCCAGCAAGACGCCAUUGACUUGCUUAUCACUGUCCCAUUGCUGUCAUGUGGCUCCUCUUUCACAGGCACCAGUUCGCAUGAAAGUUCGCCAGGCCAGAAGUGCUUUGCGGUCACUUCUUUCGACGUGGAUUGUAGCAGCUGGGCGUAACUUUGUCGGGCGUCGACUGUGCUCUGGCGUGACUUUGUUGGAAGUCAAAAGAAGCGGCUGGAGGUGGCUUUCGGUGUGGAUGUCGAGUUGUGUGUGCCUUGUUCAAGUCGUCGUGGUUGCCGACUUCUACUUGUUUGUUGGGUGCUUGUGCGGCCAGGUGCACUUGUUUAUAUAAUGGGUUAAGGUGUCUAGGUUGGGGUGUCCGAGACCGUGUGGAGAUCAUAUUGUAAACUUGUCUUAUCUGCAUGUAAUCGUUUCUGUUUUGGAACUUUCCUCACGUGGUCUGGUGGCUGUCCUUAUUUGUUUAGAUUCCUUAUUUGUCUAGGUUUGACUAUUGUUUGUUGUUAUCCUUGACCCAUUGAUGUGAAGGUUUUUUUUGUUUGUG